GUGUUCGCCUAAAUAGGUUGAACCUCAAAAAGGCGGACAUUCGUGUCAUACCAAAUGGGCGGAUCGAGGUUCCUGUAAGAGACGGAGGCAAACAUUAGACACAUAAAGCAUGAGGCACGUUUACUUUGAACAAAUUUGAAUUCUCGAACCACGCCAAUGUGGUCUGAAAAUUGUUACAUGGAAUAAUGAAAUAGGACUUAGGUUUUAUUUCUUUGGUUUUCGGAUCCGAAGUAAUGAUCAAGGGAGACAGGUAGGGACGUUGGUAUUGUUGCGCUAGAGGUGAAAUUCAUGGACCGUAACCAGACGAACUAAAGCGAAAGCACGCAACAAGCAUGUUUUCAUUGGCCUUGAGUGAAAUUCAGAGGCUCGAAGACGAUCAGAUAUUGUCCUAGUUAUGAGACUCAAUGUUAACUGUGGUGUACAUUUCGUAC
rnacentral:ncRNA from 1 species